rnacentral:tRNA from 1 species
UGGGUUGUGGCUCAGUGGUGGAGCACUUGUCUUGCAUGCAUAAGGCCCUGGGUUCGAUCCUCAGCACCACAU